GUUACUAUUAAAUAGUUAGGUGUGAUGUUUAUUUCGUAUAUUAUAUUCGGUAUUACCGUCAAACAAUGGAGCGUCAACUAGGUGCAAUUGUCAACCUGGGUAUAAUUUGUAGUGUUACUCUCAUAUAGUUGAACUAGUUAUCAGUUGUAGCCCCUGAGAUAUUAUCUAUCUCGAUAAUUAUUCAAAGACCGACUUGCUUCGAUAAAAUCAUGCUGUUUACCAUUAUCAAGCCGCAGCAAAAAA